AGUGAACGCUGGCGGUAGGCCUAACACAUGCAAGUCGAACGGCAGCACAGUAAGAGCUUGCUCUUACUGGUGGCGAGUGGCGGGCGGGUGAGGAAUACAUCGGAAUCUACUUUUUCGUGGGGGAUAACGUAGGGAAACUUACGCUAAUACCGCAUACGACCUACGGGUGAAAGCAGGGGAUCUUCGGACCUUGCGCGAUUGAAUGAGCCGAUGUCGGAUUAGCUAGUUGGCGGGGUAAAGGCCCACCAAGGCGACGAUCCGUAGCUGGUCUGAGAGGAUGAUCAGCCACACUGGAACUGAGACACGGUCCAGACUCCUACGGGAGGCAGCAGUGGGGAAUAUUGGACAAUGGGCGCAAGCCUGAUCCAGCCAUACCGCGUGGGUGAAGAAGGCCUUCGGGUUGUAAAGCCCUUUUGUUGGGAAAGAAAAGCAGCAGGUUAAUACCCCGCUGUUCUGACGGUACCCAAAGAAUAAGCACCGGCUAACUUCGUG
rnacentral:rRNA from 1 species